GAAAACGAAGGAUCCUUAAAAAUCUGGUUAUGUAAAUAUUUCACCUGGGCUUGAACCUGGAAAAGCUGUGAUCAGACGAGUAAUGGUUUGAAUUCCUUUGACAAAUGACCAGUGGGCCGCGUGGAGCAUUAAAAUCAUUUGUGUUGUAACCACUUAAUGCAUUGACAUCUCCUUUAUCUAAUUCUGUAGCUCGACUAUUACCAACGGAUUCUUCCUGUACCUCCAAACACUUAGAUCCACGUAGCUUUGUGCUAAUAUUAGAGUUCCCACAGCUAUUCAUUACAUUACUGUGCAGACGAUCUGCAUAACCUACACUUUGCAUAUACAAAAUGUUCUAAACAUGUACGAUAUACAAAUAACCGUUAUCUAGAACAAUGAACAAUGAAGAAAAUAAAAUUAUAUUUCUAUUAUACGAGAUAAUAGAGUUUACUGUCGAAGCUGAAACGAAUUCUGACGACAAUUAAGAUCGUAUUCGUCGCAAACGCAAUAUCGAUGAGUCAAAAGAGAACAGAACACUGGAUGAUCAGGAAGCAAACGAAGGGAAUAGAUAAUACAUUCGAUUUGAAAGUAUGUACGACGCUCUUUUUUAGUAAAAAAUGCAACAGUUUUGGCAAACGCUAAUCCCAAUUUAUAAAGGAUUGCUUACGUUUAAGCAACAUUUUUGGAUACGUAUAUGGUAUUCGUUAAUUUUAAUUCGAAGAUAUUUUUUAUUCCGUAAAGCACGACUGUGUCGACAACGCGACCGAAUAUGUAUGUAUGCGUUACAAAAUUUCCUAGCCGAUGAAUAUCAAAGUAUACGCUACAACCUUAUUUGUGUACGUCUUCGUUCGAGAACGAUUACCAGCAGGUACUCAAGAAUUGUAUGCGCACUCGUUCAAAAGUGAAACUCCUACUCGAAAUGUACAAGAACCAACCACAUGAAGAAGAAACGGAUCAUGCAUCGUUUAUGAGUGGUAGAUUCAGGUAGCCUCCAAUCUAUACGUUGACGUGCUCUCGGUAACUCUUGGUAACUCCUUCGUCGGCAAGUACAAUAACUCUUCCGACGUUACCUUCUCACUUUUUAAAUUCGUUCCUUGAAAUUAAUUGAAAGCUGUGCGAUACAAAGGUAAAAAAAUAACAGGCAGAAAAAGAGAGAAACGGAAAAAAGAAAAGUUGAUCAAUUAAUAGACACACCACAUGCCUCUUCCAAGUCCAAGCAUUAACGAAUCGUCGUACGUAUAACGAGGACACCCACACUACUCUUUCAUACAUCGCAUACAUAUACAUUUGCACCUAUGUAUAAAAAUAAUGAUGUAUAUAUCUACACACAUGUUGUGUACAUAUAUAUAAUUUAAUAACGAUAAUUUUGUACCUGCUCAAACAAACUAGGAACUUUAUCUGCAACUACAUGUAUAAUAUGUAUGUGGUUACAUUACAAUCGUUAAAUUUGUAGGCACUGCAAUGAAAUCGAGUGCAUGUAUCUGCAUACAUACAACGCAAAACGACAAAGCAACAAUUGCUGGACCAAUGCAAACAAUCCUGUGAAAGUGUAUUCUAAACGAUUCAGAAAUCUGAUUGGCCCAGGUCAAGCUCACUAUUCAAUUCUUUACAAUUUAGAAUUACGUACAUGUAACGUAUGUCAUACCUACAUACAUAUGUAUUCAUGCUUUCGCCGAGAGGAAAUGUGCAUGCAUACACAUGUUGUAUGGAUACUAGGGAAAUAAAGAAUACAUACAUAUAUACAGCUGGUGCGCGCAAGUGUAAACAGGCAUAACAACACUAAUAGAUUCUUAAUGGCACAAAUCAUGCUUCUGUACUUUAAUUGUCAAUUUAAAUUUGUGUCUUACAGUGUGAUACAAUCGUGUGAAAUGACUUAUUGAUUAAUAAUUAGAAAUAAUUGAUCAAUUGUUAAUUAAUUCUACAGGACGUAUAGUGCCGCAAUUUAACCGACAUUUGUUAUUUAUAAACAAUAUAAUGUAUGUACAUAGUACAAUUUACAUACGCACUCGAGUAAUCGUUACAAGUCCUAUUAUUAUUAUGGACUAGACAUAUAUGUACAUUGUACAUACGUUUGAACCGAUUUCAUUGCAAAGUCGCCUUUACGAAAUUCUAUUGUAAUUAUCGGAGGGUCUCGCUAGUCUCUAGUUAAGGGGUCUGCGUGCCGUCAAACCACGUAGCGACAGAACGCUCAAACUGAUAGACCAAUUUAUCGAUUGCACAUCAUUCUUAGAAACAUCAGAUGGCGACACCAAACAUUUCCAAAGGAUAUUUUAAUCUGUUGGCAAACGAGUAUGGUAUGGUAAAAUCUACGUUUAAUAAAUGCCAUCUAUUUCACGAACUGAA